AGGAAAUCCUAUUGUUUUUAGUCCCCCACAACCAAUUCAAUGGUGCAUUUGACAGUUCUGUUUUCUCUUUCUGUGUUGCCAAUCACCAUGCUGCUCUGUGGUCUGGUGCUACACGACACAAAGGCCUCCAGUGCGCUCAGGUUUGGAGGUCCGGAUAACCAGCUAUGUCUAAUGGUACGCAGCCCACUCAUGCUGCAGGGUGGGCAACAUCAAAAGAACAGCACCAGCUCCCCAGAGCCACACUAGUCUCACAGUGCUGCCUCUGCUGAAUCACUAUCAAACAGCCCAGUGACUCUUCAGAGGGGCUCCAUCUACAUGAUGCAAUCAAGAUACAACUAAGCGACCUCUUUGUAGUCCACGCUGAGCUGAAGUGGGGAGUCUCAGGGGGCCAAACCUCAAGUAGCCAAAAGUCUUGCUAUGCAAAACUAUAAAGUGGACGACUCAGGUUUCAGCGUGUGUGUGUGUGUGUGUGUUUGUGUGUGAGAAUCAUUGACAGAAACACAUCCAAGCAUUUCCAUGGUGUUGCAUAAGUCGUUAUUGUAGAGAUACUGAAAAAGCGAGCAAGCAAGCGAAGACAGUGGCUCUAAUCCCAAGUGUCAA